UGAUCACACUUGCUCACUCACGAUGAUC
rnacentral:piRNA from 1 species